UGUACAUGUCACUGGAGCGAGCAUAGCCCGGGCUGUGUAAGCAGGUAUCCGUGUCAUCAACUGAGUUGGCCCCCAAAGUUUUGUCACUGUGGCUCCCAUCAGGCUUUGAGGUUAUCUUGGGGUCUGUCUUGUCUGCCGAACUACGGAUGGAGAGAUUGGAGAUACUUCCGAACCACUUGAGACCUGGGGAGAGAGCGCGAGAUUUCCUUACUUUAUCCACUGUUGCCAUGGCUCAUUUGAUAUUCUGAUACAUUGGUGUUCUAUGUGGGCAGACUGACAUUCCAAUUCAAUGGCACCUGACGUCAUUCCCUGGUAACAACGUGUGUUGUGGAUGCUAGGAGUGGGAGAAGGUCCAGGACAAUGGCGGCUCAUCAAUACAAGGUCCGAUGCCAUGAAUAAAUGGUUGGCGACAACGCAACGUUAAUCGAGGGCUUGAAAAAAACAAUUGACCAUGCAUGCAUGGAAAUCAAGGAUGUUAAGAAGGUCACCCACAUCGAAAGCGUGUUCGAAAAAGAGGAGGGAAAGAUGGACUUGCGCCAAAGAAGAAUCGCAGAACUCGAAAGUUACUCCAGACGGUGGAAUCUGAGACUGUAUGGAGUUCCCGAGGCAGAUGGGGAGAACGUGCGGCAAGAGACCAUCAAAGUCUGCCAGGCUAUCCUACCUGAGGAGAAGGCUAAGCUAGCAGAUGUUGUCGACAUUGUAUAUUGCCUUGGCACGAGAAGGCAGGGUGACUCCAAGCCCAGAGGUGUCAUUCUCCAGUUCACAUCACAGAUCUACAGGGAUGCCACUUGGAAAGCAGCAAAGUAAUCUACCUUCUCAAAAAAGACUGCAAAACAUUAGCCUCUAUAUUUAAAAAAAAAUGAAGGCAGUAUUGGACUCAAUUAUAGAAGAGACCCAAUCUGGCUUCAUGAGAAAUAGACAUCUAGUACCAGUCAAAUGUUUGGAUACACCUACUCAUUCAAGGGGUUUUCUUUAUUGGUAUACCUCCAGGCUGUG